GAAAUGCGAUAAGUAAUGUGAAUUGCAGAAUUCAGUGAAUCAUCGAAUCUUUGAACGCACCUUGCGCUCCUUGGUAUUCCUUGGAGCAUGCCUGUUUGAGUAUCAUGAAAUCUUCAAAGUAAAUCUUUUGUUAACUCAAUUGGUUUCUACUUUGGUAUUGGAGGUCUUUGCAGCUUCACACCUGCUCCUCUUUGUUCAUUAGCUGGAUCUCAGUGUUAUGCUUGGUUCCACUCGGCGUGAUAAGUUAUCUAUCGCUGAGGACACUGUUAAAGGUGGCCAAGGUAAAUGCAGAUGAACCGCUUCUAAUAGUCCAUUGACUUGGACAAUACUUUUAUGAUCUGAUCUCAAAUCAGGUAGGACUACCCGCUGAACUUAAGC
rnacentral:misc_RNA from 1 species